GAUGAACGCUGGCGGCGUGCCUAACACAUGCAAGUCGAGCGGCAGCGAGGGGUGCUUGCACCCUGUCGGCGAGCGGCGGGCGGCUGAGUAACGCGUGGGAACGUGCCCCAAAGUGAGGAAUAACUGCCCGAAAGGGUAGCUAAUACCGCAUAUUAUCUUCGGAUCAAAGGAUUUAUCCGCUUUGGGAGCGGCUCGCGUCGGAUUAGGUAGUUGGUGAGGUAAUGGCUCACCAAGCCGACGAUCCGUAGCUGGUCUGAGAGGAUGACCAGCCAGACUGGAACUGAGACACGGUCCAGACUCCUACGGGAGGCAGCAGUGAGGAAUCUUCCACAAUGGGCGAAAGCCUGAUGGAGCAACGCCGCGUGCAGGACGAAGGCCUUCGGGUUGUAAACUGCUUUUAUAAGUGAGGAAUAUGACGGUAACUUAUGAAUAAGGAUCGGCUAACUACGUG
rnacentral:rRNA from 1 species